rnacentral:rRNA from 1 species
UGAUCUGCCUACCAUGGUGAUAACGGGUAACGGGGAAUCAGGGUUCGAUUCCGGAGAGGGAGCCUGAGAAACGGCUACCACAUCCAAGGAAGGCAGCAGGCGCGAAAAUUACCCACUCCCGGCACGGGGAGGUAGUGACGAAAAAUACGAAUACGGGACUCACUCGAGGCUCCGUAAUUCGAAUGAGUACAAUCUAAAUCCUUUAACGAGGACCAAUUGGAGGGCAAGUCUGGUGCCAGCAGCCGCGGUAACUCCAGCUCCAAAAGCGUAUAUUAAAGUUGCUGCAGUUAAAAAGCUCGUAGUUGGAUCUGGGUCGUGCGUUCACAUGUCGUUGCUUGGUUCUGAUUUCGGUUAGUUCCAGGUGAUGGCGAGGUGGUCGCGCAGCCUUUCAGCCGUGUCUGCGCGAGCAGGUGCUGGUUGGCCGGUGGGUUUACUUGCUGGUUAGUCGGCAUGUUUCCUGAUGCCUUUAAACGGGUGUCGGGGGCGUACGGCACUUUUACUUUGAACAAAUUUGAGUGCUCAAAGCAGGCCCAUGUGCCUGAAAAGUCUUGCAUGGAAUAAUGGAAUAGGACUUCGGUUCUAUUUUGUUGGUUUCCGGAUCCGAAGUAAUGGUUAAGAGGAACAGACGGGGGCAUUUGUAUGGCGGCGUGAGAGGUGAAAUUCUAUGAUCGUCGCCAGACAAACUACAGCGAAAGCAUUUGCCAAGAAUGUUUUCAUUGAUCAGGAGCGAAGGUCAGAGUUUCGAAGACGAUCAGAUACCGUCCUAGUUCUGACCAUAAACGAUGCCAACUGACGA